rnacentral:rRNA from 1 species
AUAUUUGCUAAAGAUUCAUCGCUGAUAGAUAGGCAUGCGUUCCAUUAGGCAGUUGGCGGGGUAACGGCCCACCAAACCGACGAUGGAUAGGGGUUCUGAGAGGAAGGUCCCCCACAUUGGUACUGAGACACGGACCAAACUCCUACGGGAGGCAGCAGUGAGGAAUAUUGGUCAAUGGCCGAGAGGCUGAACCAGCCAAGUCGCGUGAGGGAUGAAGGUUCUAUGGAUCGUAAACCUCUUUUAUAAGGGAAUAAAGUGCGGGACGUGUCCCGUUUUGUAUGUACCUUAUGAAUAAGGAUCGGCUAACUCCGUGCCAGCAGCCGCGGUAAUACGGAGGAUCCGAGCGUUAUCCGGAUUUAUUGGGUUUAAAGGGUGCGUAGGCGGCCUUUUAAGUCAGCGGUGAAAGUCUGUGGCUCAACCAUAGAAUUGCCGUUGAAACUGGGGGGCUUGAGUAUGUUUGAGGCAGGCGGAAUGCGUGGUGUAGCGGUGAAAUGCAUAGAUAUCACGCAGAACCCCGAUUGCGAAGGCAGCCUGCCAAGCCAUGACUGACGCUGAUGCACGAAAGCGUGGGGAUCAAACAGGAUUAGAUACCCUGGUAGUCCACGCAGUAAACGAUGAUCACUAGCUGUUUGCGAUACACUGUAAGCGGCACAGCGAAAGCGUUAAGUGAUCCACCUGGGGAGUACGCCGGCAACGGUGAAACUCAAAGGAAUUGACGGGGGCCCGCACAAGCGGAGGAACAUGUGGUUUAAUUCGAUGAUACGCGAGGAACCUUACCCGGGUUUGAACGCAUUCGGACCGAGGUGGAAACACCUUUUCUAGCAAUAGCCGUUUGCGAGGUGCUGCAUGGUUGUCGUCAGCUCGUGCCGUGAGGUGUCGGCUUAAGUGCCAUAACGAGCGCAACCCUUGCCACUAGUUACUAACAGGUAAAGCUGAGGACUCUGGUGGGACUGCCAGCGUAAGCUGCGAGGAAGGCGGGGAUGACGUCAAAUCAGCACGGCCCUUACAUCCGGGGCGACACACGUGUUACAAUGGCGUGGACAAAGGGAGGCCACCUGGCGACAGGGAGCGAAUCCCCAAACCACGUCUCAGUUCGGAUCGGAGUCUGCAACCCGACUCCGUGAAGCUGGAUUCGCUAGUAAUCGCGCAUCAGCCAUGGCGCGGUGAAUACGUUCCCGGGCCUUGUACACACCGCCCGUCAAGCCAUGGGAGCCGGGGGUACCUGAAGUCCGUAACCGCGAGGAUCGGCCUAGGGUAAAACUGGUGACUGGGGCUAAGUCGUAACAAGGUAGCCGUACCGGAAGGUGCGGCUGGAACACCUCCUUUCU